CCUACGGGAGGCAUCAGUGGGGGAUAUUGCACAAUGGGGGGAACCCUGAUGCAGCGACGCCGCGUGGGUGAAGAAGCGCCUCGGCGCGUAAAGCCCUUUCAGCAGGGAAGAAAAUGACGGUACCUGUAGAAGAAGCCCCGGCUAACUACGUGCCAGCAGCCGCGGUAAUACGUAGGGGGCAAGGGUUAUCCGGAUUUACUGGGUGUAAAGGGGGAGCAGACGGCGUUGCAAGUCAGGAGUGAAAGCCCGGUGCCCAACCCCGGGACUGCUCUUGGAACUGGGUGGCUGGAGGGCAGGAGGGGCAGGCGGAAUGCCUGGUGUAGCGGUGAAAUGCGUAGAUAUCAGGAGGAACACCGGUGGCGAAGGCGGCCUGCUGGACUGCAACUGACGUUGAGGCGCGAAAGCGUGGGGAGCAAACAGGAUUAGAUACCCCUGUAGUC
rnacentral:rRNA from 1 species